UGCUCAUUCACGGGGACGGCCAAAUG
rnacentral:piRNA from 1 species